GUCCAGACUCCUACGGGAGGCAGCAGUGGGGAAUAUUGCACAAUGGGGGAAACCCUGAUGCAGCGACGCCGCGUGAGCGAUGAAGUAUUUCGGUAUGUAAAGCUCUAUCAGCAGGGAAGAAAAUGACGGUACCUGACUAAGAAGCCCCGGCUAACUACGUGCCAGCAGCCGCGGUAAUACGUAGGGGGCAAGCGUUAUCCGGAUUCACUGGGUGUAAAGGGGGCGUAGACGGCGACGCAAGUCUGGAGUGAAAGCCCGGGGCCCAACCCCGGGACUGCUCUUGGAACUGCGUGGCUAGAGUGCAGGAGGGGCAGGCGGAAUUCCUGGUGUAGCGGUGAAAUGCGUAGAUAUCAGGAGGAACACCGGUGGCGAAGGCGGCCUGCUGGACUGCAACUGACGUUGAGGCCCGAAAGCGUGGGGAGCAAACAGGAUUAGAUACCCCUGUA
rnacentral:rRNA from 1 species